UGAGAGCUGAGCUUCUACUACGAGCGCUCUACUUCGAGCUUCUACUACGAGCAGUUCCAGCCGAGCUCCUACGAGAGCCGAGCUUCUACUACGAGCGGUCUUCUCCGAACUCCUGCUACGAGCGGUCUGCUCUGAAUCCCUAUAGCGGGCGAUCUACCUCGGAUCUCUACUAUAAGCAAAUUCCAUUCAGGCCUCUACUGUAAACAGAUUUCUUCCGAACUUUCAUUACAAGUAGACUUCAGUCGAGCUCCUUCGUAGCCGGAUCCCUGACGAGCUUCUACCAGGAGGCAGGAUCCACCGGCC
rnacentral:lncRNA from 1 species